GCGUAUUCACGUUUGAUGUGGUAUGCGAUGUACAUAGGAGUGAAUCAAAGUGUGGACAACAUCAAAUGCGAGCAAUAGGUAGAAUAAAUGAAGAUUAGGUCAUCCAAUAUACAUAGUUAGUGUAGGACAAUCGGGUAGUAUGAUGAAGGUAACUGUUAUUAUGAGAUACGGUUAACACAGAAGUGAUAUUGAACAUGCAAAUUUUAACAUUGUUAUUUCCCUUUUACAUCUUUCAAUGCGCAUGGCUGAAGCAAUGCGCAAGGAGGGAUGUAGUGUGAAAUUAAACCAAAGUAGAUACUGUAAAACAAUUAAAAUUAGAAUUCAUGGAAAUAUGUUUUUGAACAACUAACUGCUGUACAUGAGUUUGUAUUUCUGCAAUAGAAACAAAAGUUCCAGAACCAGAUGCAGACACACCUGGAGCCUACAAACUACCACCGCCGAGCAAGGACCAACAGUCACAUGAGGAGAUCAAAUAACAGCAGGAUUUGAAUCGCUCCGGAUGGGUUGGUGGCCAGGGCGCUGGCCACCUGUUACUGACACGACGACGACGGAGAACCUGUUUGGAGGCUCCCAUGAUGUAGGAGUAACCUCUCUGAGAUGAGCCCUUGACAAGGAGGGACGAGUCUUGGGUUCAUGAAUUACAGGCCCGACGGCGACAGAAAAAACAAUGACUACGAUAAUAACAUCGCCCAAAACCACCCACAUGAACCGGCGCACCAAUACACGAAGAUCACCUGAACCCCCCAAAUCCAUGCCCAAACCACCCACAUGAACCGGUGCACCAAUACACGAAGAUCACCUGAAUCACCCGAAUCCAUGCUAGGCUAUCAAUAAUCUUGAAUUUUUUUAAAUUGUAUUAUGACUACCAAUUUUUACUUUACUUUUGCACAUGAUGAAAAUUGUAUGACCUUGUAGCACAUGACCAAAAGUAUUAGCUCAGGAUUUCUAUGGAUGGUUUUGUUUGUGUGCUGUUUGGCCAUGUGAUUGUAUGAUAACAAGAUUCAUGUUCAUUGUUGUAUUGUUAAAUAAUGACCUGUAUUUCCAAUGAGACCCACAAUGUGAA